rnacentral:rRNA from 1 species
UACGAAGGGGGCUAGCGUUGCUCGGAAUCACUGGGCGUAAAGCGCACGUAGGCGGAUUGUUAAGUCAGGGGUGAAAUCCUGGAGCUCAACUCCAGAACUGCCUUUGAUACUGGCGAUCUCGAGUCCGGGAGAGGUGAGUGGAACUGCGAGUGUAGAGGUGAAAUUCGUAGAUAUUCGCAAGAACACCGGUGGCGAAGGCGGCAUCCUGGACCGGCAUUGACGCUGAGGAGCGAAAGCCAGGGGAGCAAACGGG